rnacentral:lncRNA from 1 species
UCUGAUGUAUUCAAGGGACGGUCUGGAUACUUCUCGGCAGUAUGAACAGUUGAUUGUUCGCUCUGACCAGCUGAUGUUGUAACCGUGCACUUUAAGGCAGCGAGGAAAGUAACGCUGACUGGGCUAGGACUACUUGCUACCAGUCUGUUCGUAUACGUAGUAACUCUGUACUAGAAGUACAGACAUGCACCCUUCCUUCUUGCUGAUUGGUUCGCCGGCUAACUGGCCUAGCGGAUAAAGAGCGAACGGGUUGCUCUUGCACUCUGGAGAGACAAAACGCUCGCCUAAAAUAGCAUUUCGAGACACAAAGAGUUUGUAAAGAAUUGGCAUCAAACCAUGGUGUGUGGCAGGUUCAUCCUUAGGGGCGGGGAUGUGCCUGUUUGAUUAUGAUGAGCAGUUUG